GCCCCGUGCUCCUCUCUCCGUUUCUAACUAGAGUUCACUGAUGCUUGGUCUCUGACACGCAGGUCUGCGUGGCUUCCGAUGAUAUGCCAGGUCGCCCCGUGCUGCAACGCCUCCGGGUCGUUAUCUGUAAUGUUUGCAGAGAGGGGCUGAUACAGUUGGUCGAGUAGUUCUCAAGCCGAGGGGAUAAACCUUGGAAGGCUCUAUACCAAGGAAUCUGGAGUUUAUAGUACACAUGUACUUCCUCAUAAACCAAUUGAGCUUUCAUUGGCAUUGUAGAAGACGAUACAUUGUUCUUUGACUAUAUUGCUGGUUCAACGCUCAAAGUGACCAUCUUCAGGUACAAUGGAUGCGAGAAGAUCUAGGACCACUGUACUUAGAGAUCAACGUGAAAUAACCUUUUGUUCAUCGGUAUAGCUAUCCAUGCUAUCGCUUAUAUAUAAUAAUAGUUCUUCUCUCUUACUCUCUGAGAUUACCAAUUGAUCAUCCAUUGUAGAAUGAUGAUCAAUAUACAGUACCAAGUAUUAUUACUAGACUAAAUUAUUACUAGACUAAA